rnacentral:rRNA from 1 species
AGUGAACGCUGGCGGUAGGCCUAACACAUGCAAGUCGAACGGCAGCACAGUAAGAGCUUGCUCUUACGGGUGGCGAGUGGCGGACGGGUGAGGAAUACAUCGGAAUCUACUUUUUCGUGGGGGAUAACGUAGGGAAACUUACGCUAAUACCGCAUACGACCUACGGAUGAAAGCAGGGGAUCUUCGGACCUUGCGCGAUUGAAUGAGCCGAUGUCGGAUUAGCUAGUUGGCGGGGUAAAGGCCCACCAAGGCGACGAUCCGUAGCUGAUCUGAGAGGAUAAUCAGCCACACUGGAACUGAGACACGGUCCAGACUCCUACGGGAGGCAGCAGUGGGGAAUAUUGGACAAUGGGCGCAAGCCUGAUCCAGCCAUACCGCGUGGGUGAAGAAGGCCUUCGGGUUGUAAAGCCCUUUUGUUGGGAAAGAAAAGCAGCAGGUUAAUACCCCGCUGUUCUGACGGUACCCAAAGAAUAAGCACCGGCUAACUUCGUG